rnacentral:rRNA from 1 species
ASGGGGRGGGCAGCAGUGGGGAAUAUUGGACAAUGGGGGRAACCCUGAUCCAGCCAUGCCGCGUGUGUGAAGAAGGCCUUAUGGUUGUAAAGCACUUUAAGCGAGGAGGAGGCUUACCUAACUAAUACUUAGGAUAAGUGGACGUUACUCGCAGAAUAAGCACCGGCUAACUCUGUGCCAGCAGCCGCGGUAAUACAGAGGGUGCAAGCGUUAAUCGGAAUUACUGGGCGUAAAGCGCGCGUAGGUGGCCAAUUAAGUCAAAUGUGAAAUCCCCGAGCUUAACUUGGGAAUUGCAUUCGAUACUGGUUGGCUAGAGUAUAGGAGAGGAAGGUAGAAUUCCAGGUGUAGCGGUGAAAUGCGUAGAGAUCUGGAGGAAUACCGAUGGCGAAGGCAGCCUUCUGGCCUAAUACUGACACUGAGGUGCGAAAGCAUGGGGAGCAAACAGGAUUAGAUACCCUGGUAGUCCAUGCCGUAAACGAUGUCUACUAGCCGUUGGGUCCUUUGAGGACUUAGUGGCGCAGCUAACGCGAUAAGUAGACCGCCUGGGGAGUACGGUCGCAAGACUAAAACUCAAAUGAAUUGACGGGGGCCCGCACAAGCGGUGGAGCAUGUGGUUUAAUUCGAUGCAACGCGAAGAACCUUACCUGGCCUUGACAUAGUAGAAACUUUCCAGAGAUGGAUUGGUGCCUUCGGGAAUCUACAUACAGGUGCUGCAUGGCUGUCGUCAGCUCGUGUCGUGAGAUGUUGGGUUAAGUCCCGCAACGAGCCGCAACCC